rnacentral:lncRNA from 1 species
AUAAGCCCCCGUUUGGUUCGGGGUUAAGAAAAAGUAGCUAUUCCAGGGAUAGGGUUAAGUUCAGGAUUAAAAUGGUGUUAAAAUUUUUUUGUGUUUGGUUGGAGGUUGGAGUUAGUCUAGGAUAGUGAAAAAAAGUGUUUGGUUGGAGUAGGUGGGAUAAGAAGAUAAUGAUUGAUAAAGAAGAAAAAGGUGAGAACUCGGGAUGCGUGCGGGGUUAAAGUUGGGAGGGGGAGUGGGGUUAAUGAUUGAUAAAGAAAAAAAAGGUGAGGGCUUGGGAUGCGUGCGGGGUUAAAGUUGGGAGGGGGAGUGGGGUUAGUAAACCCCACUAACCCGGUUUAGGAUGGGGUUACCAAAAGAGUGGUGUUUGGGUAUAAAU